rnacentral:rRNA from 1 species
UACGGGAGGCAGCAGUGGGGAAUUUUGGACAAUGGGGGCAACCCUGAUCCAGCCAUGCCGCGUGAGUGAAGAAGGCCUUCGGGUUGUAAAGCUCUUUCAGGUGGAAAGAAAACGCAUGGGUCAAUACCCUGUGUGGAUGACGGUACCAUCAGAAGAAGCACCGGCUAACUACGUGCCAGCAGCCGCGGUAAUACGUAGGGUGCGAGCGUUAAUCGGAAUUACUGGGCGUAAAGCGUGCGCAGGCGGUGAUGUAAGACAGAUGUGAAAUCCCCGGGCUCAACCUGGGAACUGCGUUUGUGACUGCAUUACUCGAGUACGGCAGAGGGAGGUGGAAUUCCGCGUGUAGCAGUGAAAUGCGUAGAGAUGCGGAGGAACACCGAUGGCGAAGGCAGCCUCCUGGGCCAGUACUGACGCUCAUGCACGAAAGCGUGGGGAGCAAACAGGAUUAGAUACCCUGGUAGUCCACGCCCUAAACGAUGUCAACUAGUUGUUCGGUGAGGAGACUCAUUGAUAACGCAGCUAACGCGUGAAGU